rnacentral:rRNA from 1 species
CUACGGGAGGCAGCAGGGGGGAAUUUUGGACAAUGGGCGAAAGCCUGAUCCAGCCAUGCCGCGUGAGUGAAGAAGGCCUUCGGGUUGUAAA